GAUGAAGAACGUAGCGAAAUGCGAUAAGUAAUGUGAAUUGCAGAAUUCAGUGAAUCAUCGAAUCUUUGAACGCACAUUGCGCCCGCCAGUAUUCUGGCGGGCAUGCCUGUCCGAGCGUCAUUUCAACCCUCGAACCCCUCCGGGGGGUCGGCGUUGGGGAUCGGCACUUACCUGCCGGCCCCGAAAUACAGUGGCGGUCUCGCCGCAGCCUCUCCUGCGCAGUAGUUUGCACACUCGCACCGGGAGCGCGGCGCGUCCACGGCCGUAAAACAACCCAAACUUCUGAAAUGUUGACCUCGGAUCAGGUAGGAAUACCCGCUGAACUUAAGCAUAUCAAUAGCGGAGGA
rnacentral:misc_RNA from 1 species